rnacentral:misc_RNA from 1 species
UUUCCGUAGGUGAGCCUGCGGAAGGAUCAUUAUUGUAUAACCGAGGUGCGAGGGCUGUCGCUGACCCGAAAGGUCGUGCACGCCCGAGUGCCCUCACACACAUCCAUCUCACCCCUAUGUGCACCACCGCGUGGGUCCCCCUUUGGCUUGUUCGGAGGGGGGCUUACGUUUUCACACAAACUUUGUAUGCAGUGUAGAAUGUAUUUUUGUUUUUGCGAUCACGCAAUCAAUACAACUUUCAACAACGGAUCUCUUGGCUCUC